AUUUUAAGGGCUCUCGGGGUUUCGGAGGCGCUGACUGGUGCAGCUGGGCCCCCCACCGCCAUCGCCGGCGGGUAUAAAAGGCCGCCGUGGGGGGGGACGCGCCGGUUCUCGGCGGCGGAUCUCGUGUGGGCUCGCCAUGGCCGCAGCGGUGACCUUCGCCUUGGUGUUGGCCGUGGCGGGAGCGCUGGCCACGCACGCCGCGGCGCCCCCCCGCUGCCGCGACGAGGAGAUCUGCCCCAACCCCUGGGACAGCUCGUGGGAUCUGGUCGACGGAGCCCAAGAGGCGCUGGCGCCGGGGAAGAAAUGCGCCCUGUGCACCAAAAUCCUGCAGUGGACCAAGAAGGCGGCGGGCGAAGAGCCCGACGAGGACGCCGUGCAGACGGCGCUCGCCGGGGCGUGCAAAGCCAUGGGCCGGCGCCUGGGCCACGUGUGCAAGUGGCUGGUGAAGAAAUACGGCGAGCAGAUCGUGCAGGCGCUGGAAGACGGCCAGGACCCCCAGGACGCCUGCAGAGCCAUGCGACUCUGCAAGGGCUGAGAGCCCCGCGGCGGCCCCCCCCUCCUUCCCCACACACCGCACGGCGGCCCCCGGCGCUCCGGGGCUUUGCCGACAGCUUGGUCCAUCCGCCCCCGCCAUCCCCGUCCCCGUCUCCGUCCCCAUCCCGGUGCAAUAAAGCCUUUCGCCCGCACGCCGGGUCUCCUGGGGCCGGUGUGCCAGCAGAGCCCCCCCCCCUCCCCAGACCCCUUCUUUUUGGGGAAAGGGGGUUGUGUUGGGUGCAAAGGACGAUCCCUGCUCCGGCCCGGUGUUUCGUAU
rnacentral:lncRNA from 1 species